AGAGGGUGCGAGCGUUGUCCGGAAUCACUGGGCGUAAAGGGCGCGUAGGUGGCCUGGUAAGUAUGGGGUGAAAUCUCGAGGCUCAACUUCGAGGCUGCCUCCUAUACUGCCGGGCUCGAGCAAAAUAGAGGCAUGUGGAAUUCCCGGUGUAGCGGUGGAAUGCGUAGAGAUCGGGAAGAACAUCGGUGGCGAAGGCGGCCUGCUGGACUCUUGCUGACACUGAGGCUCGACAGCGUGGGGAGCAAACAGGAUUAGAUACCCUGGUAGUCCUCGCCGUAAACGAUGGGUACUAGGCGCCGGAGGGAGCGACCCCUUCGUGGCCGUCGCUAACGCAAUAAGUACCCCGCCUGGGGAGUACGGCCGCAAGGCUG
rnacentral:rRNA from 1 species